AGAUUUUUUUAAGGCCCCCCCUAUGGCAAUCGAAGCAGCCCUGACAAGAAAAACGAGAUAGUGUGCGGUUGAUCGGUCAUGCAAUCUGUCAAAUAUUCAAAAAAUAAAGUUUGUUUACAUUUUGAACCGAACGGUAGCUCUCACGAUGUACAACGGCGAAUGAUUUAAAAAAGGCUACAUCGGUGAUGAAAAUGUUGUGUGUAAUGUGUAAAAUAAACAGCCUAAAAAUUAUAAAUGGUGGUAGAAUCGACUUCGCACGCCUGAAAGCCGUUUAGGCUGUUGUGCAACCGUGUUGAGCCGGCGAUAGUUAGAAAGAGGGAAGAAAGAAUGCCCGCAAUCAAACUAAACGAUGUUUGAUCAUGGAAAACAAGUUAAAAAGCAUACAAAGCUCGCUCGCCGUUGAACGCUUGGACAAUUACAUUUACAAUCAUUCGGUGAUCAGUUUGCGAAACGUCUUGCCGCACGCCUGGUACAGGCCCUUCUUGUCCGCGUCGGUAUCGAUCGUGGACUGAUCGUUCGGCAGCGUCAGCAUCAUCACCUUCAUCUGCGGGUAGUUGUGGUACGGCACAGUUCCGGUCGUCAUCUCGAUCGCGGUAAUGCCGAACGACUAGAAGCCGUAUCCGUGGUCCCGCUCCGUCUCCUCCAGCGCCAUCCAGCACGACGUGCCGAUAAACGUGUGGUACACCUUCUGCCGCGACGUGUCUCCAUCGGUGGCGAGCCACGCGCUCAUCCGCUAUAUUUAAGGAGCCGUCGUCGCCGGGCAGUAUGAUGGCCACCUUGAUGUCCACGUAAUGAGCAAUGCGAAAUGUGCUCUCAAUUGGCAAGCGCACAGCAAGAAACGUUACUGACAGUCUUUGUCGCCGUGAAAAUGCUUCUAAUGCACGGGUGAGUUGCAUUAUAACUACAAGCAUACGUUUUUUUUCCUUUCUUUAGUUUCAGCUAAUGCCAGACGAACGAUCGAAUGACUGUUGCUUCGGAAGGGAGGUCGCAUUACAGAUACCGACUUGGACAUGAUCCAGUCGGUCGGUUGCAGUUGCUCCAUGGUGCUUCGGAUAAGGCAACAACGGAGAAGCGCUCCGGACGCUCCGGAGAAGCUGAUCGAGAUCGGCGAAGCGGUGUAGUGUUGUGAUAUAGUGAUUGUGUGUACAUUUAAGGUGUAAAGGGUGAUUAAUGCUAGUAACGUUGUGUAAUGUUAUGCAGAACAAAAUGCAGCAUAAAUGGCGAUGAGCCAGCAUUGUUUAAAGGUGCCGGAUGUUAUACGUUAGAGCCGUUCUUUGUGGUGUGAUGUGUUAACAUAUUAAACCAGUAUUAGGAUUAGGAUAUAAUUAGGAUUUAAACCAGUGCCGUUGAAUAAAAUAGUGUACAACAGGUUAGAAAACA